rnacentral:rRNA from 1 species
GACGAACGCUGGCGGCGUGCUUAACACAUGCAAGUCGAACGGAAAGGCCCUGCUUUUGUGGGGUGCUCGAGUGGCGAACGGGUGAGUAACACGUGAGUAACCUGCCCUUGACUUUGGGAUAACUUCAGGAAACUGGGGCUAAUACCGGAUAGGAGCUCCUGCUGCAUGGUGGGGGUUGGAAAGUUUCGGUGGUUGGGGAUGGACUCGCGGCUUAUCAGCUUGUUGGUGGGGUAGUGGCUUACCAAGGCCUUGACGGGUAGCCGGCCUGGGAGGGUGACCGGACAAAUUGGGACUGGGAUACGGCCCAGACUCCAACGGGAGGCGACAGUGGGGAAUAUUGCACAAUGGGCGGAAGCCUAAUGCAGCAACGCCGCGUGCGGGAUGACGGCCUUCGGGUUGUAAACCGCUUUCGCCUGUGACGAAGCGUGAGUGACGGUAAUGGGUAAAGAAGCACCGGCUAACUACGUG